rnacentral:rRNA from 1 species
CACGCCGUAAACGAUGAGUGCUAGGUGUUAGGCCCUUUCCGGGGCUUAGUGCCGCAGCUAACGCAUUAAGCACUCCGCCUGGGGAGUACGACCGCAAGGUUGAAACUCAAAGGAAUUGACGGGGGCCCGCACAAGCGGUGGAGCAUGUGGUUUAAUUCGAAGCAACGCGAAGAACCUUACCAGGUCUUGACAUCCCGAUGCUAUUCCUAGAGAUAGGAAGUUUCUUCGGAACAUCGGUGACAGGUGG